AUUAACUUCGGUUAAUUUUAGUGGCGGACGGGUGAGUAACACGUGAGAAUUCGCCUUUAGGAGGGGGAUAACGGAUGGAAACAUUCGCUAAAACCCCAUAUGCCCCUGGGUGAAACAGAGGAGAUAAGUAAUACUGACUCUUACCUCUGCCUGAAGAGAAGCUCGCGGCUGAUCAGCUAGUUGGUAGGGUAAAGGCCUACCAAGGCGACGAUCAGUAGCUGGUCUGAGAGGACGAUCAGCCACACUGGAACUGAGACACGGUCCAGACUCCUACGGGAGGCAGCAGUGAGGAAUUUUCUGCAAUGGGCGAAAGCCUGACAGAGCAAUACCGCGUGAGGGAUGAAGACUUACUGAGUUGUAAACCUCGGUACCUUAAGGAAGAAGAUCUGACGGUACUUAAGGUGGAAAGCAUCGGCUAACUCCGUGCCAGCAGCCGCGGUAAGACGGGGGAUGCAAGUGUUAUCCGGAUUUACUGGGCGUAAAGCGUCUGCAGGUGGUUUUCUAAGUCUACUGUUAAAUCUUGAGGCUCAACCUCAAAUCUGCAGUAGAAACUAGAAGACUUGAGUAUAGUAGGGGUAGAGGGAAUUUCCAGUGGAGCGGUGAAAUGCGUAGAUAUUGGAAAGAACACCGAUGGCGAAGGCACUCUACUGGGCUAUUACUGACACUCAGAGACGAAAGCUAGGGGAGCAAAUGGGAUUAGAUACCCCAGUAGUCCUAGCCGUAAACGAUGGAUACUCGAUGUUGGACGUAUCAACCCGUUCAGUAUCUUAGCUAACGCGUUAAGUAUCCCGCCUGGGGAGUACGCUCGCAAGAGUGAAACUCAAAGGAAUUGACCGGGGGCCCGCACAGCGGGUGGGAGGAUGUGGUUUUAAUUCCGAUGCAACGCGAAGAACCCUUACCAGGGUUUGCUAGAAGUGUUGGUUUUCUGAAAGA
rnacentral:rRNA from 1 species